rnacentral:tRNA from 2 species
GCCCGAGUGGCGGAAUGGUAGACGCAGGGGAUUCAAAAUCCCCCGUCGCAAGACGUGGGGGUUCGAGUCCCUCCUCGGGCA